ACGAGUUUUUUUCGGUUUUACCACCGAAAACUCCCACCCUUGUGUAUUUUCGCUGAAAAGCAGCUUCGGCGGGCCGUCUAGAAAACUCUAGCGAUAGAGCUUCUGGACAUCGGCUCACUGCGGAUUCGUGUCCGCCGAAGAACCAACUCUUUACAACUUGAAGUCUGAUAAAACAAAGAAAAUAAAUCA
rnacentral:misc_RNA from 1 species